GCUCCUGUGAUGGAAUAGGCAUACAUACAUUUUUCAAAAAAAUGAUUUUGCAGGUUCGAAUCCUGCCAGGAGCA
rnacentral:tRNA from 1 species